rnacentral:rRNA from 1 species
UCGCAUCUUUCCCUUCGGGGACAGAAGUGACAGGUGGUGCAUGGUUGUCCUCAGCUCGUGUCGUGAGAUGUUGGGUUAACUCCCGCAACGAGCGCAACCCUUGCCUUUAGUUGCCAGCAUUAAGUUGGGCACUCUAGAGGGACUGCCAGGGAUAACCUGGAGGAAGGUGGGGAUGACGUCAAAUCAUCAUGCCCCUUAUGCUUAGGGCUACACACGUGCUACAAUGGGUGGUACAGAGGGCAGCCAAGUCGUGAGGCGGAGCUAAUCCCUUAAAGCCAUUCUCAGUUCGGAUUGUAGGCUGAAACUCGCCUACAUGAAGCUGGAGUUACUAGUAAUCGCAGAUCAGAAUGCUGCGGUGAAUGCGUUCCCGGGUCUUGUACACACCGAA